rnacentral:rRNA from 1 species
UACGUAGGGAGCAAGCGUUGUCCGGAUUCACUGGGUGUAAAGGGUGCGCAGGCGGACUGGCAAGUCAGGGGUGAAAUCUUACGGCUUAACCGUGAAACUGCCUUUGAUACUGCUGGUCUUGAGUUAGGGAGAGGUUGAUGGAAUUCCAGGUGUAGCGGUGAAAUGCGUAGAUAUCUGGAAGAACACCAGUGGCGAAGGCGGUUCUCUGGGACGGUACGUGACGCUGAGACGCGAAAGCGUGGGGAGCGAACG